UUUAACAUCGAACGGAAGUGGGAAUAAAUAAUUUUCUGUGUUUUUGCCUUUUUGUAAUAAAUCCAACGUUUUACUUGUGUUUUUGGAAUAAUUAUAACGCCAUAUUAAAUGUGGAUAAGAUGGAGAUUGGAGAUGCCCAUACUAUUCCAGUGUGUUUAACGAUGACACAAUCAGACAACACACAGACACACAAAGGACUCGCAGUAGAGGCUGCUGUCAAAGCCAGUAGAUUACGAAGCACACAUUUAUGAUGUUUUGGCUGUGGUACAUUUAUGGGCCUCACCACGAUGAUUGUUGAACCCUGGAAGUAUUGCUGACUAGGGACUACUAGCUCCGGUCAACAUUUUGGACUUUUUGCGGAUGUAUUUUUGCCAAACUUUCCCCCCAGAAGCCGUUCUUUGGUGGGCAGUCGGAGGGAGUUAAUCCAAAAUCUUUAACACUAUUUGUUACGUCCCCGAGAUCGCGAGUCGGCCGCUGAUGUCAAUCUAUAACGCCUUCCUACAACUCUACUACAACGCUAUGCUUUAUUGGAACUGUGUGGUGGUCCUGGCAUGGAGAUCCUUGAGCCAAUGCUGCCCUUUUCCCAUGACAGAAUUGAGUGACCUCCACCAACGUUCAGCUCCAUCCCUAUCUUCAUGACGCAACGCUCAUCUAGCUUCACUACUUAUGCUGAUGCACAACUUGUCUUGCUUCACUGACGAGUACCGUCCGCUGUGACAAAACUGUAGUUACUCACCACGGGAUUAUGCUCAGGUACUCGACAAUUGACUUGUUUUCGUAGAUUAUUUACUAAUAAGUAAUAAUCUACUUGCUUUAAACUCUGGUCUGUGUAAUAAUUUCAAAAUUAGGCAUUUCUUGCGCGUAAACGAAGUAUUACUUAGACAUUUCUUUUUUCUAACGCU